rnacentral:rRNA from 1 species
UACGAAGGGGGCUAGCGUUGCUCGGAAUCACUGGGCGUAAAGGGUGCGUAGGCGGGUUUUUAAGUCCGGGGUGAAAUCCUGGAGCUCAACUCCAGAACUGCCUUUGAUACUGAAGAUCUUGAGUUCGGGAGAGGUGAGUGGAACUGCGAGUGUAGAGGUGAAAUUCGUAGAUAUUCGCAAGAACACCAGUGGCGAAGGCGGCUCACUGGCCCGAUACUGACGCUGAGGCACGAAAGCGUGGGGAGCAAACAGG